UGGAGGGCAAGUCUGGUGCCAGCAGCCGCGGUAAUUCCAGCUCCAAUAGCGUAUAUUAAAGUUGUUGCAGUUAAAAAGCUCGUAGUUGAAUUUCGGGGUUCAUACGUUGGUCGGGCUUUUUGGUCUGUACUUAUGUAAUGGAUUCCUACCUUCUGAAUAACCGGCAUGUCAUUAAUUUGGUGCGCCGGGGAAGCAGGACUGUUACCUUGAAAAAAUUAGAGUGCUUAAAGCAGGCUAUCGCCUGAAUACAUUAGCAUGGAAUAAUGAAAUAGGACGGCAUGGUUCUAUUUUGUUGGUUUCUAGGAUCACCGUAAUGAUUAAUAGGGAUAGUUGGGGGCAUUAGUAUUCAAUUGUCAGAGGUGAAAUUCUUGGAUUUAUUGAAGACUAACUUCUGCGAAAGCAUUUGCCAAGGAUGUUUUCAUCAAUCAAGAACGAAAGUUAGGGGAUCGAAGACGAUCAGAUACCGUCGUAGUCUUAACCAUAAACUAUGCCGACUAGGGAUCGGACGAUGUUAAUUUUUUAAUGACUCGUUCGGCGCCUUACGGGAAAC
rnacentral:rRNA from 1 species